rnacentral:tRNA from 1 species
UGGGGUGUCGCCAAGUCGGUAAGGCACAAGGUUUUGAUCCUUGCAUUCGCAGGUUCGAGUCCUGCCACCCCAGCCA